rnacentral:misc_RNA from 1 species
UCCACCAAGCACCACAGCACGCUUGGGCAUAUCUUCCAGACUCAAUGCCUCAUCAGAGGUUAUAGCCAGCUCCUGCCCAGGAAUAUUAGGACGUUGAGCUCUAUUUCCAGUUGAAAUCAGUAUGUGCUUUGCCGAAUAGCUCAAUUUAGUGCCAUCUAAUUGUGUCACCUCAACUUCAUUAGGCCCAACAACCUUUCCCUCUCCUUCAAGCAGCUUAACCCCAGCAUUAGACAGCAACCGCUUGUAAAUUCCAUUUAACCUAGUUAUUUCAUCUGUCUUCUUCUGCAAUAGCUUUUUCCAGUUGAACUCCACUUUUUCAUUUAUUUCCCACCCAUAAUUCCUGGCAUCCUCAAUAUCACCUCCA